CUGUGGUUUUGUGUAACAGUACUCUUGUUUUUAUGUAAACAGUGCGCAAGUUUGGUCACUAGAAUUAAUUCUGUUCAUUUUAUUGCCCAGCUUUGUUUGCCAUGAAUAUGAAAUGUGCAAGAAAAUGGCUGCUGCUGCUUUUUUAGCAUAUGAAUGUGUCGAAAUAGCUUAUCUCAAGGCUGCAUACCACAAGUACGCCAUUGCAAGCAAGGAUCGUCAGGUGUUUCAGGCAGCUGUGCAGACUACACCAGGUAGUUGAUCUAAUUGGUGAACAAUAAGGGUCUUAGAAAGAAGUUCUAACGUCAGGUUCUGAUCGACCUAGAUCUCGAUGGUGCUGGAAACUCUAAUGAGUUGACUAAACUCGUGCACAAGGUCCAUUUGCUUUGCCUGCUAGCAUGGGGUAGGGUAAUUGACAAGGCUUGCAAUGAUCCUCUUAUUCAGGUGCAUAAUAUGUGUAUUCAUUUCUACCCUUUAAAUUGCCCGUGUUCCAAAAUGAUGCAAUUUCAUGAUACAUUUUCAGAAGUUCUAAACUGAGGCAUCUUUCAAGAUAAACCAUGUUUGUUGUUCAAAUGUUCUUUUCAGGCUUCAGUUCUCUAUGUGUUACCACACGAUUCAGUAUGGAUUGGUUUAGACAUUCAGAAACUGGGAUGCUAAUAACCUGUGUAGUCUUGUGAGCUGGGUAAGCCCCCUUUGGGCCUUAUAUGUAUUUAACUAUUGUUCCCAUAUGUUGUUUACCUUUCUUAAAAAACAA